GUUGAAGGGACAUUUCUUGGAAGCAACACAUUUGGUGGGGGUGUCGUGUAGAUGGGACGGGAGUGCCUGUUUUUGCGCGGUGCAAAUCAAAUGGUAUUUUGCCGUCCUUUUCACCUUUUUCAAUGUCAAUGCUACGCAUCCUACGUGAUUCGCGAAUGGCGAGCCAGUGUUCUGACCACGUACGCGAGCCAAGAUCGAUGCAAUCUUACGGAAAGAUCCUGUUCUGACUUAGCGGCAAAGUUUACCGCGCGCAUGUUAAUUUUAUGGCGAUUCAAUGCGUUUUCAAAGCCGCCAAGGACACAACGUAAUUGAUCGAACUGAACACUGAAUCAAACUUAAAGGCGAUUCUGACCCUCAUUGAUUUAAGUUAACUUUAAAACAUUUUAGGUGUUAUAAUUAGUAAAAGUACGAAUUUCCAUCUGAACAAAUUCUUCUGAUUCAGAGCUUGUUGUUCAAAGAUACGAACUUCGUUUUUCUCUGGCACCGUCAGUUUUACCAAGAAAAUUGGAUGCUGCGGGAAGCCUUCAACUUGUGUUGCGAGUACAUUGUCAAGGCUACUAGCUAAACGCAUCAGGACGUACAUGAUAUGACUCGAGAAAAUGUGUGCGACACACCUCCACUGUCUACCUAAAGACGAUUCGGGGAAUCACAUGUUUGGUAUGGAUAGUCUGGUACUUAUUGCCUGAUAAACAUUUCGCAAUUGAAACUUCGAAUAUCAGUCGAGCGACGAAACAGUGGGACGUAUUGUAACAUUUGUAGUAUUAUGGAGAAAUCUGCGCCAAUAUAAAUAGAGGACAUACAAAAGCUCAGUAUCAACACUCAACAAAUCCAAGUCUCCGGAUCAAUUUCUCUUCGUUCGAGAGGUCCCACUAUAGCCACGUUUGAAAAUGAAUCGUCUUCUGUUUGUCCUCGUCUUUCUGGUUCUUGCCUACACCGUUCUUUCCGUUCCUUUGAAAUUCUAUCCGUGGCCCAGUUACCGAAUUCUUAACAAUAUGGCGGCACGAAGGCAGCAGUCACACCAGAGCAGGACUGGCCCUCUAGGUUUUGGUGGAAUCAUCUUCGGCUGAUGGAGUCGACGAUAUGGUUAAAACACAUCAAAUAUUUUCUGUUCCGAAAUCAAAUAUUGGUGACGCAGUUGUUAUGUUUGAUAUUAAUUUCUAUAAUAAACCAUUUUGCUUCUAUA